UAGGGAAUCUUCCGCAAUGGGCGAAAGCCUGACGGAGCAACGCCGCGUGAGUGAUGAAGGUCUUCGGAUCGUAAAACUCUGUUAUUAGGGAAGAACAAAUGUGUAAGUAACUAUGCACGUCUUGACGGUACCUAAUCAGAAAGCCACGGCUAACUACGUGCCAGCAGCCGCGGUAAUACGUAGGUGGCAAGCGUUAUCCGGAAUUAUUGGGCGUAAAGCGCGCGUAGGCGGUUUUUUAAGUCUGAUGUGAAAGCCCACGGCUCAACCGUGGAGGGUCAGUGGAAACUGGAAAACUUGAGUGCAGAAGAGGAAAGUGGAAUUCCAUGUGUAGCGGUGAAAUGCGCAGAGAUAUGGAGGAACACCAGUGGCGAAGGCGACUUUCUGGUCUGUAACUGACGCUGAUGUGCGAAAGCGUGGGGAUCAAACAG
rnacentral:rRNA from 1 species